rnacentral:rRNA from 1 species
GGAAUUAUUGGGCGUAAAGAGCUCGUAGGCGGUUUGUCGCGUCUGCUGUGAAAGCCCGGGGCUCAACCCCGGGUCUGCAGUGGGUACGGGCAGACUAGAGUGCAGUAGGGGAGACUGGAAUUCCUGGUGUAGCGGUGAAAUGCGCAGAUAUCAGGAGGAACACCGAUGGCGAAGGCAGGUCUCUGGGCUGUAACUGACGCUGAGGAGCGAAAGCAUGGGGAGCGAACAGGAUUAGAUACCCUGGUAGUCCAUGCCGUAAACGUUGGGCACUAGGUGUGGGGGACAUUCCACGUUUUCCGCGCCGUAGCUAACGCAUUAAGUGCCCCGCCUGGGGAGUACGGCCGCAAGGCUAAAACUCAAAGGAAUUGACGGGGGCCCGCACAAGCGGCGGAGCAUGCGGAUUAAUUCGAUGCAACGCGAAGAACCUUACCAAGGCUUGACAUGGACCGGACCGCCGCAGAAAUGCGGUUUCCCUUCGGGGCCGGUUUACAGGUGGUGCAUGGUUGUCGUCAGCUCGUGUCGUGAGAUGUUGGGUUAAGUCCCGCAACGAGCGCAACCCUCGUUCUAUGUUGCCAGCGCGUUAUGGCGGGGACUCAUAGGAGACUGCCGGGGUCAACUCGGAGGAAGGUGGGGACGACGUCAAAUCAUCAUGCCCCUUAUGUCUUGGGCUUCACGCAUGCUACAAUGGCCGGUACAAAGGGUUGCGAUACUGUGAGGUGGAGCUAAUCCCAAAAAGCCGGUCUCAGUUCGGAUUGAGGUCUGCAACUCGACCUCAUGAAGUCGGAGUCGCUAGUAAUCGCAGAUCAGCAACGCUGCGGUGAAUACGUUCCCGGGCCUUGUACACACCGCCCGUCAAGUCACGAAAGUUGGUAACACCCGAAGCCGGUGG